UUGGGAAUAUUGGACAAUGGGGGAAACCCUGAUCCAGUGACGCCGCGUGAAGGAAGAAGGUCUUCGGAUUGUAAACUUAUUUUAUCAGGGAAGAAAAAAUGACUGUACCUGAAGAAGAAGCACCGGCUAACUACGUGCCAGCAGCCGCGGUAAUACGUAGGGUGCAAGCGUUAUCCGGAUUUACUGGGUGUAAAGGGCGAGUAGACGGCGUUGCAAGUCAGAUGUGAAAGGCUAGGGCUCAACCUUAGGAGAGCAUCUGAAACUGUAAUGCUAGAGUGCAGGAGAGGUAAGCGGAAUUCCUAGUGUAGCGGUGAAAUGCGUAGAUAUUAGGAGGAACACCAGUGGCGAAGGCGGCUUACUGGACUGUAACUGACGUUGAGGCGCGAAAGUGUGGGGAGCAAACAGGAUUAGAUACC
rnacentral:rRNA from 1 species